rnacentral:rRNA from 1 species
AUGAUGUCGCCGAUUCUGCGCCCGAGCGCGACGAGGCCGCCCCCAUGGUUGCCAUCGGCGCUCCAUGAUCCGCCGCCUCCCCCACCCUCCUCUCCAUACGCCGCCGUUCCUCCGCAACCCGACGGCCUCCACAAACACCACCACCACGGUCGGAUCUUGGACGGCAGGCGGCGAUGGCGUGCAGCGGAAGAGCAAGAGGGGGGCGUGAAGGCUGGCCGCCGCCGUGAGGAUACCGGCGCCCGUGCGAGCCGUGGUGACGUGGCGGCGAAAGAAGUUGGCCUUCCCAGCGCGCCGCGCGGUGGCCACCGUCUCCCCCGCGCCCGCAAGAGAGAGGACCUCCUUGGAGCUGAGAAGCUCCACGUCCACGCAAUCCAAAGUCUCCCUCGCCGCCUGCUCCCGAUGCAGCCACUGUCGUGGAUGAGCAUCUCCUUCCACAUGGCCGUUUUUUUAUGGAUUCGUGGCCGCAGGCGCGUACAGUCACGCAUGACAAGGCUCAUUCCAAUAGGUGUCCAUGAUACCGGUACUGGGGUACGAGGGCGCACCUCCUGGGCGGACUACCGGCAGUUGAUGAAGUGCAGGUCUCUUCUGCAGUACAUGGGGGAUGAUUGCAAGGUGUGCGAGGAGAGUGGAGGGCGUUGUCGGAUCAACACCACCUAUGAUAUCUUCGAGUGCCACUGCUCCGACCACAUUUCUCCGUCCACCUGUGAAUAUGUACAAGAAGAGAGCGAAGAAGAUUAUACUAAUAGUAUUAUAACUUCUGGUUUGCAAAAGGAAAUAACAUCUGCUUCCAUCUCAGUCAAAGUGGGUGAAAAGUUAGCUGCCAAUCCCCUCCCGUCCUUGAUCCCUACACCCCAUGCCUCGUCUUUCCUCCUCUCGACAGCCGCCAUGCCCCUUCUCCUCCUUCUCCUCUACCCAGCGCUGCCUCUCCUCCUCUUCUUCGAUCAGAUCCUGUCGGAUCCUCUCCCGCGUGCCGGCUUCUCCUCGAAGAGAAGGGUAACAUGGUUCAGCACCAGUGAAGUUGGUCUUGGGCACGCUGCUGCUGGAGGGAAGGCGGUCCGCCGGCACUCGUGUCUCCUAACCAGGCGUUUCUUCCCCCGGCGCCCAAGUUCCCCGUUCUUGUUGCUGUGUGAUUGUUGUGUCCGUGCUUUCUUCCUCUCUGACGGCGCCUCCCACCGGCAACUUCUGUCAGGUGCCGUGCUGUUCUUCCUCCCCUUCGAUUGUUCCAUGGCCACCAGCAGCAACAGGAGGAAAGUCAAGCCCCGACGAUGUAUAGCUUUCUUUCACAGCUUGGUUGAAGAGCACAUUCGGUGUGCCUGCCAUGACUGCUUGUUCUGCUUGUUGUUUCCUUCGAUUGUUGUCAUGGCCCUCGGUCCUUCGGUUGCUCCGUACGUUUCAGCUUCUCCAUGGAGCUGUGUUUUUUUGCGAUCCCUUUGGCGUGCCCCGGUUUCGUCCUCCCUGACUCUUAUUUUUCUUCCCCCUACAGGAUCUACGAGGUUGCUGCUGGUUUUUGGGUUCUUGGCUGCGUUGCAUCUUUACCCACCGUGGCGGUCACACAAUGGCCGCCUUAUAUUAGUAGAAGUUCCUACUCUCAAAAGUAAAACAGUACCAAGUGGGCUGCGAUUCAGAUACUCUUUGAGAACGCCGAUGCUUUACCAAAAAACAUACCCUAGCGUGGCUUGGGCAAGGGAGGCUGUGGACCAUCAGCAGAUAGCCCCAUUUCUACUGAAGAAGAACAUGCUCUACGGAGGUGGUCAUAUGUCCAGUUGGAAGCUCCUCCCUGUAAUUGAUGAAGGCAAGAUUUACUACUUCCAGGGAGUAAGAGAUCAAAGUACAGCAGCAUUUAAAGAAGUGGCAAUAAUUAGCCAUCCCCGUGCUGGUGAAUACGCAUUUGGAUUUAUAACAUCGAGCAUGAUUCUCCAGCUCUCUACGGAAAUAAUUGUUUCUGGAGGAAUGACCAUGCCGCAGGUGAUUACAGUGCUAGGACCUGCCACUGAUAAGAACCAGGGCACCCGUUGA